rnacentral:rRNA from 1 species
AGGACGAACGCUGGCGGCGUGCUUAACACAUGCAAGUCGAGCGGUAAGGCCUUUCGGGGUACACGAGCGGCGAACGGGUGAGUAACACGUGGGUGAUCUGCCCUGCACUCUGGGAUAAGCCUGGGAAACUGGGUCUAAUACCGGAUAUGACCUGCUCUCGCAGUGGGGGUGGGUGGAAAGAUUUAUCGGGUGCAGGAUGGGCCCGCGGCCUAUCAGCUUGGUUGGUGGGUAAUGGCCUACCAAGGCGACGACGGGUAGCCGACCUGAGAGGGUCGACCGGCCACGACGUGGGACUGAGACACGGCCCAGACUCCGUACGGGAGCAGCAGUGGGAAUAGUGCACAAGUGGGACGAAAGCCUGAUGCAGGCCGACGCCGCGGUGAGGAUGGAACGGUCCGUUACGGGUUCGUAAACCCGUUC